UUGCAAAUAAUGCACCAGUUCAACUGAGCUAGGGCAGUGGAAGGGAAUAAUAUGAUGAAGGCGACCAAAAAAAUGCAGCGGUGCCGCUAAAGAGGACGUCCUCUUUUGUGAAAAAGUAACGUGUUUGAAUUCACCGAGCAAAUAGCAAAGUUCUCUGCCUCUGAAGCAAACUACUGUGAAUAGAAAAAAAUCUGGUUGAGGGGGGGGGGGAGUGGCACUGAUGACUCGCGAAUUCUAUUAAUAUAUGAUCCUUGAGCCCCACCCAACGUCAGGUGACAAGCUCCUUGAUGCGUUCGACGUUGUCCUUCUUGAGCAUCAUCAACUCGACAAAACUUUUCAUCUUCUUGGGAUGGCUCUGCAACUUGAGCGCCUGCUGCUUGGCUCUAAGCACCACUUGCUCUGGAAGGCCAG